UAUGUGAUCGUCUCUCGCAUAUCAAUAAGCGGAGGAAAAGAAAAUAACAAUGAUUUCCCUAGUAACGGCGAGUGAAGAGGAAAGAGCUCAAAGUUGGAAACUGUUUGGCUUAGCUAAACCGUAUUGUAAACUGUAGAAACAUUUUCCUGGCACGCCGGAUUAAUAAGUCCUUUGGAACAAGGCAUCAUGGAGGGUGAGAAUCCCGUCUUUGAUCCGAGUAGUUGUCUUUUGUGAUAUGUUUUCAAAGAGUCGGAUUGUUUGGGAAUGCAGUCCAAAAUGGGUGGUAAAUUUCAUCUAAAGCUAAAUAUUGGCGAGAGACCGAUAGCGAACAAGUACCGUGAGGGAAAGAUGAAAAGAACUUUGAAAAGAGAGUUAAACAGUACGUGAAUUGUCAAAAGGGAAGCGUUUGACACCAGUGUUGUUUUUCUGAAAAUCAAUUAAAGAACUGUUUAUGCUAAGUUGUUUAGACUUUAUCAGCUAUCUGCUUAGUUUUGAGCUUUUCUUUAAUGCACUUUUCAGUUAACAAGUCAACAUCAAUUUCUUUUGCUGUAAAAAAGCUUGAGGAAGGUGGCUUGAGAUUCGUCUUAAGUGUUUAUAGCCUCUUGCCUAUGCAGUCGGAAGAGAUUGAGGUCUGCAGCGUAGAUCCUUCGGGGCUAAAUGCAUUUGUGCUAAGUUAUAGCAUUUUAUAGACAACUUGUUGACUAUGAUUUGUCUUGUAGCUUACUCGCUUAUGUUAUUUUACCUACGCUUAGGAUGUUGAAGUCAUCGUAUCGCGC
rnacentral:rRNA from 1 species